AUUACAGUUGCCCUCAUCUAUACCGAUCCCAACCCUGCUACAUUCAUCAACAUAAAACCUUCCUCAAGCCAAGGGCGGUCAAGCAAUCCGCAAUUAGACUUAAAAGAAAGAUAUGUGAGAUGAGAUUGAGAAGCCUCCUGGGCCAAAGACAUUCCUUUGUAAAACGUGGAAGAUGCUGAUUUGCCCUUCAACACAGGAACUUCAGAACGUGGGGUAGCAUUCUGCUCAAUGAGCGGAAGUCAUCCCCAUAUCAUCGUCAUCAUGUAUUUAUCUCUCUCUCUCUCUCUCUCUCAGAACGUGACACUCGAACGGCUUGUAAACCAGGGUGACGGCUCAGUUUUGUUACUUGGGUAUACUAUGUGAGGGGCCUUAUUUAUCGGCAUAUGGAUGCAUGGGCUGCUUCAUGUGUUCCUCACAAAAGGCUAUUCAAUGUUCCAAAAAUGUUACUGUAGUAAGAGACUAUAUACAGGACCUAACUGAUGCCUAUCAUCACACAAAAUGGAUAAAGGACUGAAUGGUAGUAUGUUGUUGUACAACUCCGUAUCUUCUGGAUUACCGGUCCAUUGAGUCCUUCUCGAGGCUUUGUGUGUUUGUCAUUUCUUACAUGUUCCAGCCUGAGAACAUCAACUUCCAUCGUGAAGAAAAAUAUGUUCAGAUGCUCCUUACUCUAAGACUUCUGCUAGUUAAAUUGUGCAAUGGCAAAAUUUAUUCAUUUGUAUAACUAUGGUUGUGAAAGAUUUGAACAAUAUGUAACUUUGACUCAUUGUGUCUAGUAUAAUAUAUACUCCGCUGAAGAGUUUUGUUUGCAGUGAAUGCUGCCCUUCCUCCCUGUUUAUUUCAAACAACUGUACCUGUCUUUGAGAACUUUGCAUGAUACACUAAGAAAAAUUGUCGUUUUUUGCUAACUCUGUUGCCUGCAUGUGUGCCGUGACCCUUAUGCUGCACAAAAUCUGUUCUUAGGACACAGUUCUGCAGCACAGGUCACACGUUUAUGCAAUAAACAUAGAUAAUGUAAGUUGCA